GACGAACGCUGGCGGCGUGCUUAACACAUGCAAGUCGAACGGAAAGGCCCUGCUUUUGUGGGGUGCUCGAGUGGCGAACGGGUGAGUAACACGUGAGUAACCUGCCCUUGACUUUGGGAUAACUUCAGGAAACUGGGGCUAAUACCGGAUAGGAGCUCCUGCUGCAUGGUGGGGGUUGGAAAGUUUCGGCGGUUGGGGAUGGACUCGCGGCUUAUCAGCUUGUUGGUGGGGUAGUGGCUUACCAAGGCUUUGACGGGUAGCCGGCCUGAGAGGGUGACCGGCCAAAUUGGGACUGAGAUCCGGCCAAGCUUCCUACGGGAGGAGGAAGUGGGGAAAAUUGACCAAUGGCCGAAGGCCUAAUGCGGAAAGGCGGGGUGCGGAAUGAGGCCCUUCGGGUUGUAACCGCUUUCGCCUGUGACGAAGCGUGAGUGACGGUAAUGGGUAAAGAAGCACCGGCUAACUACGUG
rnacentral:rRNA from 1 species